UACGUAGGGUGCAAGCGUUAAUCGGAAUUACUGGGCGUAAAGCGUGCGCAGGCGGUUAUGUAAGACAGUUGUGAAAUCCCCGGGCUCAACCUGGGAACUGCCUUGUGACUGCAUGACUAGAGUACGGUAGAGGGGGAUGGAAUUCCGCGUGUAGCAGUGAAAUGCGUAGAUAUGCGGAGGAACACCGGUGGCGAAGGCGGCUUCCUGGACACUACUGACGCUGAGACGCGAAAGCGUGGGGAGCAAACAGG
rnacentral:rRNA from 1 species